rnacentral:rRNA from 1 species
UGAUUCUUARUGSUUGCACUAAGAUGAUUUUGGAUCCSACUGAGUGGCGAACUGGUGAGUAACACGUGGGUAACCUGCCCAGAAGAAGGGGAUAACACCUGGAAACAGAUGCUAAUACCGUAUAACAACAAGAACCACAUGGUUCUUGKUUGAAAGCUGGCCUUUGUGCUAGUGCUUCUGGAUGGACCCGCGGCGUAUUARCUAGUUGGUGAGAUAAUAGCUCACCAAGGSAAUGAUACGUAGCAGACCUGAGAGGGUAAUCUGCCACAAUGGGACUGARACACGGCCCMUACUCCUACGGGAGGSAGCAGUAGGGAAUCUUCCACAAUGGACGAAAGUCUGAUGGARCAACGCCGCGUGAGUGAAGAAGGGUUUCGGC